rnacentral:rRNA from 1 species
AGCGUGCCUUUUGUAGAAUGAACCGGCGAGUUACGAUUACAUGCGAGGUUAAGUUGAAGAGACGGAGCCGUAGGGAAACCGAGUCUGAAUAGGACGAAUGAGUAGGUGGUUGUAGACCCGAAACCAGGUGAUCUACCCAUGUCCAGGGUGAAGGUAAGGUAACACUUACUGGAGGCCCGAACCCACGCACGUUGAAAAGUGCUUGGAUGACUUGUGGGUAGCGGAGAAAUUCCAAACGAACUUGGAGAUAGCUGGUUCUCUCCGAAAUAGCUUUAGGGCUAGCGUCGACAUUAGAGAUUCUUGGAGGUAGAGCACUGUUUGGGUGAGGGGUCCAUCCCGGAUUACCAAUCUCAGAUAAACUCCGAAUGCCAAUGAAUUAUGGUCGGCAGUCAGACUGCGAGUGCUAAGAUCCGUAGUCGAAAGGGAAACAGCCCAGACCACCAGCUAAGGUCCCAAAGUAAUUGUUAAGUGGAAAAGGAUGUGACGUUGCUUAGACAACCAGGAUGUUGGCUCAGAAGCAGCCACCAUUUAAAGAGUGCGUAAUAGCUCACUGGUCGAGUGACGCUGCGCCGAAAAUGUAUCGGGGCUAAACAAUUCACCGAAGCUGUGGAUAGAC